GGGGUAACCCUAGGGAUAGUGCCACAGAAAAUAAACCGCCAUAACAUGGCAAGGGUGAAAAGGUGUGGUAAGAGCACACCGGUUCUAUUGGUAACAAUGAACGCUGGAAAACCCCACUGGGAGCAAGACUAAGUAGAGAUGACAUUGUUGCAAAACUAAAAGCCAUCCUUGGCUAGUCAUCAGGGUUAGUUGCUUGAGCUUAAGAGCGAUCUUAAGCCUAGACAAAUGAUAGGUUUAAAUGACAGAACCCGGCUUAUAGUUUAUCUGGCAAA
rnacentral:RNase_P_RNA from 1 species